rnacentral:lncRNA from 1 species
AGCCGGAGCCGCCGUGGAAGACGAAGUUGACGGGCUUGUCGGUGUCGAGGCCCUCCUUCUCCUUGAUGUACUUCUGUGCGGCGCCGAGGAUGGAAGGGGUGAGCUUCACGUUGCCGGGGGAGUACACGCCGUGCACGUUGCCGAAGGCGGCGGCGACGGAGAACAUGCCGGGGGCAACCUUGUUGAGCUCGGUGUACACCUGGUGGAUCUCCUCGGGCUUGGAGUAGAGGUCCUCCUGGGCGACGUCGGUGUUGUCGACGCCAUCCUCCUCGCCGCCGGUGAUGCCGAUCUCAACCUCGAGGAAGCAGUUGAUCUUCGCCAUGCGCUCGAGGUACUUCUUGGAGAUCUCCAUGUUCUCCUCGAUGGACUCCUCGGAGAGGUCGAGCAUGUGGGAGGUGAAGAGGGGCUCGCCGUGCUUGGCGAAGUACUCCUCGUUGGCCUCGAGGAGGCCGUCGAACCAGGGGAGGAGGCUCUUGGCACAGUGGUCGGUGUGGAGGAUGAUGGGGACGCCGUAGAACUCAGCGAGGGCGCGGACGUGGAGGGCACCGGCGACGCAGCCCAUGAUGGCCGCCUUCUGGUCCUUCUCGUUCUUCCAGCCCUUGCCGGCGUUGUAG